rnacentral:rRNA from 1 species
AAUGCAAAGAAAGGUGAAGUUUAUUGGAAAGAUGUAGCCAAAGAGUACAACGACAAUAGUCCUGUAGAUCGGAGGAGGAAGGCUACCAACUGCAAAGACCAUUGGGGAAAGAUGAACCGCAAGAUUGUGUUGUUCAACGGCAUAUGGUGUAGGCUCAAGGAAGUGUACGUGAGUGGUCAAUCUGAUGACCAACCCAUGAAUAAAGCUCAUGACAUGUACAAAUCCGAGCAGAAGCAAACUUUCACAUUAGGGAAUCUAUGGAGAGAGCUACGACAACACCCAAAGUGGACAAGGAUAUAUGCAGAGGAGAAAACGGGCACAACUGAUAAUGAUGUAGUAAAUGAGAUUCAAGAAGAAAUAAGGCCACCAGGAAGAAAUAUUGCGAAAGACAAAAGGAAUGGAAAAGGUAAAAGUUCAUCUGAAUUUUCUUCAGGUCUUUCUCAUGAUGACAUUCAAUUGUACUAUGAAACAAAUGUCCUACGAGCCUCCACACAAGAGAAGAUGCACGAUGCCCAGCUUCAGGUCUAUAAGGAUAAACGUGCUGCAGCCGAAGCACGGGAGAGGACAGCAAUAAUAAGCAGAGAGCAAGCCAGUAUGGAAAAAUACAUGGAAUUGUUGAUGGCCAACACAGCUGUAAUGUCUGACUUUCAAAGGGCGGAACAUGAGAGGGCCCUUGAAUUUUUCCGCGAUAAAGUGAUGGGUUCAGGAUACAGCAGCUAA